rnacentral:lncRNA from 1 species
GAAGAAGAAGAAGAAGAAGAAGAAGAAGAAGAAGAAGAAGGAGAUCGGGAAGGAGAAGAAGAAGAAGAGGAAGAGGAAGGAGAGAGAAUGGGUAUUUUAGUCUUUUUAGUUAAAAUUAACGGGUGAUUUAACUGAAAAUCUAACGGAGGGACUGAUGACAUAGUUUUUAAAAAUCACAGUGACCAAAUUAGAGGUUUUUUAAAACAGAGGGACGAAAGGUUGCAUUUCACUAAACCAGAGGGACUAAAUUACAGUUUACCC